UGGGGAAUUUUGGACAAUGGGCGCAAGCCUGAUCCAGCCAUGCCGCGUGCGGGAAGAAGGCCUUCGGGUUGUAAACCGCUUUUGUCAGGGAAGAAAUCUUCUGAAUUAAUACCUCGGGAGGAUGACGGUACCUGAAGAAUAAGCACCGGCUAACUACGUGCCAGCAGCCGCGGUAAUACGUAGGGUGCAAGCGUUAAUCGGAAUUACUGGGCGUAAAGCGUGCGCAGGCGGUUUUGUAAGACAGAGGUGAAAUCCCCGGGCUCAACCUGGGAACUGCCUUUGUGACUGCAAGGCUUGAGUGCGGCAGAGGGGGGAUGGAAUUCCGCGUGUAGCAGUGAAAUGCGUAGAUAUGCGGAGGAACACCGAUGGCGAAGGCAAUCCCCUGGGCCUGCACUGACGCUCAUGCACGAAAGCGUGGGGAGCAAACAGGAUUAGAUACCCUGGUAGUCCACGCCCUAAACGAUGUCAACUGGUUGUUGGGAAGGUUCCUUCUCAGUAACGUAGCUAACGCGUGAAGUUGACCGCCUGGGGAGUACGGCCGCAAGGUUG
rnacentral:rRNA from 1 species